CCUACGGGGGGCUGCAGUGGGGAAUAUUGGACAAUGGGGGCAACCCUGAUCCAGCCAUGCCGCGUGUGUGAAGAAGGCCCUCGGGUUGUAAAGCACUUUCAGUGAGGAAGAACGCCUGGUGGUUAAUACCCAUCAGGAAAGACAUCACUCACAGAAGAAGCACCGGCUAACUCCGUGCCAGCAGCCGCGGUAAUACGGAGGGUGCGAGCGUUAAUCGGAAUUACUGGGCGUAAAGCGCGCGUAGGUGGCUUGAUAAGCCGGUUGUGAAAGCCCCGGGCUCAACCUGGGAACGGCAUCCGGAACUGUCAAGCUAGAGUGCAGGAGAGGAAGGUAGAAUUCCCGGUGUAGCGGUGAAAUGCGUAGAGAUCGGGAGGAAUACCAGUGGCGAAGGCGGCCUUCUGGACUGAAACUGACACUGAGGUGCGAAAGCGUGGGUAGCAAACAGGAUUAGAUACCCCUGUAGUC
rnacentral:rRNA from 1 species